rnacentral:rRNA from 1 species
AGCAGUCGCCGCGGUAAUACGAAGGGUGCAAGCGUUACUCGGAAUUACUGGGCGUAAAGCGUGCGUAGGUGGUGGUUUAAGUCCGUUGUGAAAGCCCUGGGCUCAACCUGGGAAUUGCAGUGGAUACUGGGUCACUAGAGUGUGGUAGAGGAUAGUGGAAUUUCCGGUGUAGCAGUGAAAUGCGUAGAGAUCGGAAGGAACAUCUGUGGCGAAGGCGACUAUCUGGGCCAACACUGACACUGAGGCACGAAAGCGUGGGGAGCAAACAGGAUUAGAUACCCCGGUAGUCCUGUCUCUUAUACC